UUGGAUUCAUGUCAGCAAAUCAUUAUAUUAUAAUAUCCACAUGGAUGUUUUAAUCUAGAAAAUAUUUUUAAAAAAAUUAAAAUAAAAAAACAAAUUAUAAAAUCAGAAAUUGAAAUUCAUCCAUCCUGAAAUUUAAAUUCAUCCAUGCGUUUUCUUCUUCUCUCCAUUCGUUCUUCUUCUUCUGUCAUCCUGAAUUCAUCUUCUUCUUCU
rnacentral:lncRNA from 1 species